rnacentral:rRNA from 1 species
CAGCGACGGGGCUGGCCAAAUGGCUAUUUCUGCCAGCUCUGUCACCGGAGCCUUGAAACAAGCAAGCACAUUAUCUGGGAAUGCCCCGAGGCAUGGAGAGUGUGGCAACAGGUGGCAUCAUGGCACGGCUGCUCCACCUUCACGCCGACGGACGAGUGGAGCCAUAAGAAGCCAUUGGCGAUUAUCAGAGAAAUUAUCAACAGGGCAACGCCAAGGGAGCGCAAAGGAGCAAAAACCAUGCUCCUUGCAACAUGUUGCGAGAUUUGGCAGGAGCGGAAUAGAUGCACUUUCCAAAACAAGAUAGCCUCCACCUCUGACAUUGUGAGAGAAUUGAGAAAUUCAUUGGAGCUUUGGAGACUCGCGGGAGCCAACUGCAUUGAGAGCCCCUUCGGGGAACCACCGUGA